GUGCUCAGUUCAGCAGCACAUACACUAAAAACCGGAAUGAUACAGAGAAGAUUCGUAUGGCCCCGGCACGAGGAUGACACACAGAUUUGUGAAGCAUUUCGUGUUUUA
ensembl:snRNA U6 U6 spliceosomal RNA